UCCUACGGGAGGCAGCAGUGGGGAAUAUUGCACAAUGGGGGAAACCCUGAUGCAGCGACGCCGCGUGAAGGAAGAAGUAUUUCGGUAUGUAAACUUCUAUCAGCAGGGAAGAAAAUGACGGUACCUGACUAAGAAGCCCCGGCUAAUUACGUGCCAGCAGCCGCGGUAAUACGUAAGGGGCAAGCGUUAUCCGGAUUUACUGGGUGUAAAGGGAGCGUAGACGGCAGUGCAAGUCUGAUGUGAAAGCCCGGGGCUCAACCCCGGGACUGCAUUGGAAACUGUGCAGCUAGAGUGUCGGAGAGGUAAGUGGAAUUCCUAGUGUAGCGGUGAAAUGCGUAGAUAUUAGGAGGAACACCAGUGGCGAAGGCGGCUUACUGGACGAUAACUGACGUUGAGGCUCGAAAGCGUGGGGAGCAAACAGGAUUAGAUACCCUGGUAGUCC
rnacentral:rRNA from 1 species